AGGUCUUGUUCUUCCUUUUCUUCCACUUCUCUGCAAAUCUUCAUAUGUACGCGGAUUGACCAUCAAAUUUUCGCCAACGUUUAGCCCUCUGGGUCAAUCACGCAAUCUCAAUUUACAUUGGCUUUUGAAUGGUGGCUUGGUUUGCUCAUCAAUCCUAGUCUGAAAGUUUGGUGUUGAACAUCAAGAUGGGAGCUUGUGCGUCCAAGGAAGUUUGCGGACAAUUGUUGGACAAUAGUUCAAUUUCUAUGCUUAAAAUGUAUGCAAAAGAAGUCUAUUCUCCUUGA
rnacentral:lncRNA from 1 species